AGAAGGAAAUGGUUCAUCUUCA
rnacentral:siRNA from 1 species